UCGGCCCUCGGCUGACGGCUCAGUAACACGUGGAUAAUCUGCCCUUAGGUGGAGGAUAAUCUCGGGAAACUGAGGACAAUACUCCAUAGGUUUAGGAGGCUGGAAUGCAUCUAGACUGAAAGCUCCGGCGCCUAAGGAUGAGUCUGCGGACUAUCAGGUAGUAGUCAGGGUAAAGACCUGACUAGCCUACGACGGAUACGGGUUGUGAGAGCAAUAACCCGGAGACGAUAUCUGAGACACGAUAUCGGGCCCUACGGGGCGCAGCAGGCGCGAAAACUUCACACUGUGCGAAAGCACGAUGAGGGAAUCCCAAGUGCUUGCUCGUAAGAGUAAGCUGUUUCUCUGUCUAAAACGCAGAGAGAGUAAGAGCUGGGUAAGAUGGGUGCCAGCCGCCGCGGUAAUACCUGCAGCUCAAGUGGUGGCCGCUAUUAUUGGGCCUAAAACGUCCGUAGCCGGUUUAGUAAAUGCCUGGGUAAAUCGUGUAGCUUAACUAUACGAAUUCCGGGUAGACUGCUAAACUUGAGACCGGGAGAAGCCAGAGGUACUCCUAGGGUAGAGGUGAAAUUCUGUAAUCCUAGGGGGACCACCAGUGGCGAAGGCGUCUAGCUAGAACGGGUCUGACGGUGAGGGACGAAACCCUGGGGCGCAAACCGGAUUAGGUACCCGGGUAGUUCAGGGCGUAAACGCUGCUUGCUUGAUGUUAGUUGGGCUCCGAGCCCAAUUAGUGUCGGAGAGAAGUUGUUAAGCAAGCUGCCUGGGAAGUACGGUCGCAANNNUGAAACUUAAAGGAAUUGGCGGGGGAGCAC
rnacentral:rRNA from 1 species